rnacentral:rRNA from 1 species
CAACUUUCAGCAACGGAUCUCUUGGCUCUCGCAUCGAUGAAGAACGCAGCGGAAUGCGAUAAGUAAUGUGAAUUGCAGAAUUCAGUGAAUCAUCGAAUCUUUGAACGCACCUUGCGCUCCUUGGUAUUCUGAGGAGCAUGCCUGUUUGAGUGUUAUU